GUGGGGAAUUUUGGACAAUGGGCGCAAGCCUGAUCCAGCCAUUCCGCGUGAGUGAAGAAGGCCUUCGGGUUGUAAAGCUCUUUCGCAAGGGAAGAAAACUUAGUCUCUAACAUAGACUGAGGUUGACGGUACCUUGAUAAGAAGCACCGGCUAACUACGUGCCAGCAGCCGCGGUAAUACGUAGGGUGCGAGCGUUAAUCGGAAUUACUGGGCGUAAAGCGUGCGCAGGCGGUUUUGUAAGUCAGAUGUGAAAUCCCCGAGCUCAACUUGGGAACUGCGUUUGAAACUACAAGACUAGAAUAUGUCAGAGGGGGGUAGAAUUCCACGUGUAGCAGUGAAAUGCGUAGAGAUGUGGAGGAAUACCAAUGGCGAAGGCAGCCCCCUGGGAUAAUAUUGACGCUCAUGCACGAAAGCGUGGGGAGCAAACAGGAUUAGAUACCCCAGUAGUCC
rnacentral:rRNA from 1 species